UAUGCACGCUGGCGGCGUGCCUAAUACAUGCAAGUCGAGCGAACAGAUGAGGAGCUUGCUCCUCUGACGUUAGCGGCGGACGGGUGAGUAACACGUGGAUAACCUACCUAUAAGACUGGGAUAACUUCGGGAAACCGGAGCUAAGACCGGAUAAUAUAUUGAACCGCAUGGUUCAAUAGUGAAAGACGGUGUUGCUGUCACUUAUAGAUGGAUCCGCGCCGCAUUAGCUAGUUGGUAAGGUAACGGCUUACCAAGGCAACGAUGCGUAGCCGACCUGAGAGGGUGAUCGGCCACACUGGAACUGAGACACGGUCCAGACUACUACGGGAGGCAGCAGUAGGGAAUCUUCCGCAAUGGGCGAAAGCCUGACGUAGCAACGCCGCGUGAGUGAUGAAGGUCUUCGGCUCGUAAAACUCUGUUAUUAGGGAAGAACAAAUGUGUAAGUAACUAUGCACGUCUUGACGGUACCUAAUCAGAAAGCCACGGCUAACUACGUG
rnacentral:rRNA from 1 species